rnacentral:rRNA from 1 species
UGGGGAAUAUUGCACAAUGGGCGAAAGCCUGAUGCAGCAACGCCGCGUGAGUGAUGAAGGCCUUCGGGUUGUAAAGCUCUGUCUUCUGGGACGAUAAUGACGGUACCAGAGGAGGAAGCCACGGCUAACUACGUGCCAGCAGCCGCGGUAAUACGUAGGUGGCAAGCGUUGUCCGGAUUUACUGGGCGUAAAGGAUGCGUAGGCGGAUACUUAAGUCAGAUGUGAAAAUCCCGAGCUUAACUUGGGAACUGCAUUUGAAACUGGGUAUCUAGAGUGCGGGAGAGGAAAGUGGAAUUCCUAGUGUAGCGGUGAAAUGCGUAGAGAUUAGGAAGAACACCAGUGGCGAAGGCGACUUUCUGGACCGUAACUGACGCUGAGGCAUGAAAGCGUGGGGAGCAAACAGG